rnacentral:lncRNA from 1 species
CCCCUCGUGGUAGCGUUUUUAAAAUAAUGGUUUCAAUGUGGGAAACAUUUUUAAAUGGUUUUCUCGAGGUUCUUUCGCAAAGUUAGAGUUUUAAAAAGAAAAUCUUCGUGUGGGAGACAAUUUCAACUUCUAAGAUGGAACUAGGCUACUAUGCUAUUAAUAGCACCAAGUCAUUGGUGCUACCAAGUUUUUUGCCAUUGGAUUAAGAGAUGUGUGGUUAGGAUAAUGUGAGCCCUCUAGGGUUGAGUGGGUGGUUGGUUGAAUAGUAUGAUCUAACGGGUGAAAAUGAUCAAAAGGGUAGAUCUAAUGGCGGAAAACUUGGUAGCACCAAGUGCUUCGUGCUAUUAAUAGCAUAGUAGCCGGACUCUCUAAGAUGAAUAUGAAUGAAUGUGGAAUGGAUGUGACUAAGGACGCUAGCUAUUUAUGUAUUAUGAUG